AACGAACGCUGGCGGCAUGCCUAACACUUGCAAGUCGAACGAGACCUUCGGGUCUAGUGGCGCACGGGUGCGUAACGCGUGGGAACCUGCCCUUAGGUUCGGAAUAACUCCCCGAAAGGGGUGCUAAUACCGGAUAAUGUCUUCGGACCAAAGAUUUAUCGCCUUUGGAUGGGCCCGCGUUGGAUUAGCUAGUUGGUAGGGUAAAAGCCUACCAAGGCGACGAUCCAUAGCUGGUCUGAGAGGAUGAUCAGCCACACUGGGACUGAGACACGGCCCAGACUCCUACGGGAGGCAGCAGUGGGGAAUAUUGGACAAUGGGCGAAAGCCUGAUCCAGCAAUGCCGCGUGAGUGAUGAAGGCCUUAGGGUUGUAAAGCUCUUUUACCCGGGAUGAUAAUGACAGUACCGGGACAAUAAGCUCCGGCUAACUCCGUG
rnacentral:rRNA from 1 species